rnacentral:rRNA from 1 species
CGAAAGCCUGACGGAGCAAGACCGCGUGAGGGAGGAAGGCUCUUGGGUUGUAAACCUCUUUUCUCAGGGAAGAAGCUCUGACGGUACCUGAGGAAUCAGCCUCGGCUAACUCCGUGCCAGCAGCCGCGGUAAUACGGAGGAGGCAAGCGUUAUCCGGAAUUAUUGGGCGUAAAGCGUCCGCAGGUGGCAAUUCAAGUCUGCUGUUAAAGACAGUGGCUCAACUACUGAAAGGCAGUAGAUACUGAAAGACUAGAGUGCGGUAGGGGCAGAGGGAAUUCCCGGUGUAGCGGUGAAAUGCGUAGAGAUCGGGAAGAACAUCGGUGGCGAAAGCGCUCUACUGGACGGCAACUGACACUCAGGGACGAAAGCUAGGGGAGCG